rnacentral:rRNA from 1 species
GGGUUGUGAGGUUAAGCGACUAAGCGUACACGGUGGAUGCCCUGGCAGUCAGAGGCGAUGAAGGACGUGCUAAUCUGCGAUAAGCGUCGGUAAGGUGAUAUGAACCGUUAUAACCGGCGAUUUCCGAAUGGGGAAACCCAGUGUGUUUCGACACACUAUCAUUAACUGAAUCCAUAGGUUAAUGAGGCGAACCGGGGGAACUGAAACAUCUAAGUACCCCGAGGAAAAGAAAUCAACCGAGAUUCCCCCAGUAGCGGCGAGCGAACGGGGAGGAGCCCAGAGCCUGAAUCAGUGUGUGUGUUAGUGGAAGCGUCUGGAAAGGCGCGCGAUACAGGGUGACAGCCCCGUACACAAAAAUGCACAUGCUGUGAGCUCGAUGAGUAGGGCGGGACACGUGGUAUCCUGUCUGAAUAUGGGGGGACCAUCCUCCAAGGCUAAAUACUCCUGACUGACCGAUAGUGAACCAGUACCGUGAGGGAAAGGCGAAAAGAACCCCGGCGAGGGGAGUGAAAAAGAACCUGAAACCGUGUACGUACAAGCAGUGGGAGCACAGAGCAAUCUGUGUGACUGCGUACCUUUUGUAUAAUGGGUCAGCGACUUAUAUUCUGUAGCAAGGUUAACCGAAUAGGGGAGCCGAAGGGAAACCGAGUCUUAACUGGGCGUUAAGUUGCAGGGUAUAGACCCGAAACCCGGUGAUCUAGCCAUGGGCAGGUUGAAGGUUGGGUAACACUAACUGGAGGACCGAACCGACUAAUGUUGAAAAAUUAGCGGAUGACUUGUGGCUGGGGGUGAAAGGCCAAUCAAACCGGGAGAUAGCUGGUUCUCCCCGAAAGCUAUUUAGGUAGCGCCUCGUGAAUUCAUCUCCGGGGGUAGAGCACUGUUUCGGCAAGGGGGUCAUCCCGACUUACCAACCCGAUGCAAACUGCGAAUACCGGAGAAUGUUAUCACGGGAGACACACGGCGGGUGCUAACGUCCGUCGUGAAGAGGGAAACAACCCAGACCGCCAGCUAAGGUCCCAAAGUCAUGGUUAAGUGGGAAACGAUGUGGGAAGGCCCAGACAGCCAGGAUGUUGGCUUAGAAGCAGCCAUCAUUUAAAGAAAGCGUAAUAGCUCACUGGUCGAGUCGGCCUGCGCGGAAGAUGUAAGGGGGCUAAACCAUGCACCGAAGCUGCGGCAGCGACGCUGAUGCGUUGUUGGGUAGGGGAGCGUUCUGUAAGCCUGUGAAGGUGUGCUGUGAGGCAUGCUGGAGGUAUCAGAAGUGCGAAUGCUGACAUAAGUAACGAUAAAGCGGGUGAAAAGCCCGCUCGCCGGAAGACCAAGGGUUCCUGUCCAACGUUAAUCGGGGCAGGGUGAGUCGACCCCUAAGGCGAGGCCGAAAGGCGUAGUCGAUGGGAAACAGGUUAAUAUUCCUGUACUUGGUGUUACUGCGAAGGGGGGACGGAGAAGGCUAUGUUGGCCGGGCGACGGUUGUCCCGGUUUAAGCGUGUAGGCUGGUUUUCCAGGCAAAUCCGGAAAACUAAGGCUGAGGCGUGAUGACGAGGCACUACGGUGCUGAAGCAACAAAUGCCCUGCUUCCAGGAAAAGCCUCUAAGCAUCAGGUAACAUCAAAUCGUACCCCAAACCGACACAGGUGGUCAGGUAGAGAAUACCAAGGCGCUUGAGAGAACUCGGGUGAAGGAACUAGGCAAAAUGGUGCCGUAACUUCGGGAGAAGGCACGCUGAUAUGUAGGUGAAGUCCCUCGCGGAUGGAGCUGAAAUCAGUCGAAGAUACCAGCUGGCUGCAACUGUUUAUUAAAAACACAGCACUGUGCAAACACGAAAGUGGACGUAUACGGUGUGACGCCUGCCCGGUGCCGGAAGGUUAAUUGAUGGGGUCAGCGCAAGCGAAGCUCUUGAUCGAAGCCCCGGUAAACGGCGGCCGUAACUAUAACGGUCCUAAGGUAGCGAAAUUCCUUGUCGGGUAAGUUCCGACCUGCACGAAUGGCGUAAUGAUGGCCAGGCUGUCUCCACCCGAGACUCAGUGAAAUUGAACUCGCUGUGAAGAUGCAGUGUACCCGCGGCAAGACGGAAAGACCCCGUGAACCUUUACUAUAGCUUGACACUGAACAUUGAGCCUUGAUGUGUAGGAUAGGUGGGAGGCUUUGAAGUGUGGACGCCAGUCUGCAUGGAGCCGACCUUGAAAUACCACCCUUUAAUGUUUGAUGUUCUAACGUUGACCCGUAAUCCGGGUUGCGGACAGUGUCUGGUGGGUAGUUUGACUGGGGCGGUCUCCUCCUAAAGAGUAACGGAGGAGCACGAAGGUUGGCUAAUCCUGGUCGGACAUCAGGAGGUUAGUGCAAUGGCAUAAGCCAGCUUGACUGCGAGCGUGACGGCGCGAGCAGGUGCGAAAGCAGGUCAUAGUGAUCCGGUGGUUCUGAAUGGAAGGGCCAUCGCUCAACGGAUAAAAGGUACUCCGGGGAUAACAGGCUGAUACCGCCCAAGAGUUCAUAUCGACGGCGGUGUUUGGCACCUCGAUGUCGGCUCAUCACAUCCUGGGGCUGAAGUAGGUCCCAAGGGUAUGGCUGUUCGCCAUUUAAAGUGGUACGCGAGCUGGGUUUAGAACGUCGUGAGACAGUUCGGUCCCUAUCUGCCGUGGGCGCUGGAGAACUGAGGGGGGCUGCUCCUAGUACGAGAGGACCGGAGUGGACGCAUCACUGGUGUUCGGGUUGUCAUGCCAAUGGCACUGCCCGGUAGCUAAAUGCGGAAGAGAUAAGUGCUGAAAGCAUCUAAGCACGAAACUUGCCCCGAGAUGAGUUCUCCCUGACUCCUUGAGAGUCCUGAAGGAACGUUGAAG